rnacentral:rRNA from 1 species
AUUGAACGCUGGCGGAAUGCUUUACACAUGCAAGUCGAACGGCAGCACGGGGGCAACCCUGGUGGCGAGUGGCGAACGGGUGAGUAAUACAUCGGAACGUGCCCAGUCGUGGGGGAUAACUACGCGAAAGCGUAGCUAAUACCGCAUGAGAUCUGUGGAUGAAAGCGGGGGACCUUUGGGCCUCGCGCGAUUGGAGCGGCCGAUGGCAGAUUAGGUAGUUGGUGGGGUAAAGGCUCACCAAGCCGACGAUCUGUAGCUGGUCUGAGAGGACGACCAGGCACAAUGGGACUGAGACACGGCGCAGACUCCUACGGGAGGCAGCAGUGGGGAAUUUUGGACAAUGGGCGCAAGCCUGAUUCAGCCAUUCCGCGUGCAGGAUGAAGGCCCUCGGGUUGUAAACUGCUUUUGUACGGAACGAAAAGGCUCUGGUUAAUACCUGGAGCUGAUGACGGUACCGUAAGAAUAAGCACCGGCUAACUACGUGCCAGCCGCCGCGGUAAUAC